UGGAUURAGAGCUUGCUCUYAWGAAGUUAGCGGCGGACGGGUGAGUAACACGUGGGUAACCUGCCCAUAAGACUGGGAUAACUCCGGGAAACCGGGGCUAAUACCGGAUAACAUUUUGAACUGCAUGGUUCGAAAUUGAAAGGCGGCUUCGGCUGUCACUUAUGGAUGGACCCGCGUCGCAUUAGCUAGUUGGUGAGGUAACGGCUCACCAAGGCAACGAUGCGUAGCCGACCUGAGAGGGUGAUCGGCCACACUGGGACUGAAACACGGCCCAGACUCCUACGGGAGGCAGCAGUAGGGAAUCUUCCGCAAUGGACGAAAGUCUGACGGAGCAACGCCGCCUGAGUGAUGAAGGCCUUCGUUUC
rnacentral:rRNA from 1 species